rnacentral:rRNA from 1 species
AUUUCUUCGGAAUGACGAUUUAGUGACUGAGUGGCGGACGGGUGAGUAACGCGUGGGUAACCUGCCUCAUACAGGGGGAUAACAGUUGGAAACGACUGCUAAUACCGCAUAAGCGCACAGUAUCGCAUGAUACAGUGUGAAAAACUCCGGUGGUAUGAGAUGGACCCGCGUCUGAUUAGCUCGUUGGUGGGGUAACGGCCUACCAAGGCAACGAUCAGUAGCCGACCUGAGAGGGUGACCGGCCACAUUGGGACUGAGACACGGCCCAAACUCC